rnacentral:rRNA from 1 species
AGCACAGGUUGGUUUAUUAAGUCUGGUGUAAAAGGCAGUGGCUCAACCAUUGUAUGCAUUGGAAACUGGUAGACUUGAGUGCAGGAGAGGAGAGUGGAAUUCCAUGUGUAGCGGUGAAAUGCGUAGAUAUAUGGAGGAACACCGGUGGCGAAAGCGGCUCUCUGGCCUGUAACUGACACUGAGGCUCGAAAGCGUGGGAGCAAACA